GACGAACGCUGGCGGCGUGCUUAACACAUGCAAGUCGAACGGAAAGGCCCUGCUUUUGUGGGGUGCUCGAGUGGCGAACGGGUGAGUAACACGUGAGUAACCUGCCCUUGACUUUGGGAUAACUUCAGGAAACUGGGGCUAAUACCGGAUAGGAGCUCCUGCUGCAUGGUGGGGGUUGGAAAGUUUCGGCGGUUGGGGAUGGACUCGCGGCUUAUCAGCUUGUUGGUGGGGUAGUGGCUUACCAAGGCUUUGACGGGUAGCCGGCCUGUGAGGGUGACCGGCGACAUUGGGACUGAGAUACGGCCCAGACUCCAACGGGAGGCAGCAGUGGGGAAUAUUGCACAAUGGGCGGAAGCCUGAUGCAGAAACGCCGCGUGCGGGAUGACGGCCUUCGGGUUGUAAACCGCUUUCGCCUGUGACGAAGCGUGAGUGACGGUAAUGGGUAAAGAAGCACCGGCUAACUACGUG
rnacentral:rRNA from 1 species